GUAUUCACGUAUAGGUUUAGGAUUCUCCCACAGUGGGCAUCUAAUUAUUUAUAGCUUUGUUACCAAGAAACAUAUUCCUUGUUUAUAAAGAAACUGCAUAAAGGGUAACUUCACAUCUUAACACAAAAGUAGUGGCAGGAAGUAUGAGUGACUCAUGUCUCCCCCCUUCUCACACUUUUUGAGUAAGUAGACUUAUUAUUUCUCCUAUCACGCGAUGCACAGCUCCACAGUAGCAGUACACAAGUUGAUUGCAUAGGAAGUUGUCACUUGUGUAAAAACAUAAAAAGCUAUCCUAAGUUGUUUACAAACCACUCUGUUAAUAAGGCUAAGUGACUGUAUUCUGUUCUUAGUGGAAAUCAUAUCAGCAUAUCAAUGAGAGCCUAAAUUUUAACAGGAUUAAUGGAACAGCAAAAAAUUGGUUUAUGAUGAGUAGUUAAAUCAGGACCAAAAUAUAUAUACUGAGCAAUAUUGUGAACUUUCUUUACCAUAAAGACUGGAGCUCAGAAGAGCCACUGCCAGUCAGUGUGAACAGUACUGAGCUAGGUGGAUCAAUGGUCUGACUCUGUAUAAGGUAGCUUCCUGUAUUCACAAGUCAUGUGAAUUAUUUUUGUGUCAUGUUUUCACUUACCUGCCAUGUAAUACUCAAGAGUCUAAUGCGGCUGAUAGGUAACAAAUCACCUUUGAUCUUAAUCUUAUGUUCCCAGUUUCUCCUAGGGGCGAAGAGAACUAGAAGUCACCUGCUUCCUGGCAGGUUUUCAUUUGUCUUAGAAGGAAAACAAGCACGGGACCUUUUCUUUAUCCAGUUUAGCUAACACUUUUAAUAUCAGAGUAGCACUGCCGCAGACCCUUUCAACUAGGAUGCUUGCAUGGCCUGAUCCCUUUUUCCAAUGGCAGACUUCUCUUACCACUGAGAGGGAGAUCCAAAAACAUCCUUUGGCAUCUUUCAGAGACUAUAAGAUUGCACCAUAUGUGUUGCAUAUGUUUAUUCACUGCUCAGACUGUUAAGACUUACAGCUGAGAGAUUUCAUCAUGUGUUCCUUGGUCAACAGUUUCACUCAAAUGACAGAGAUGUUGAGUCAAUCAGAUGACCUACAUUCUGCUGACCUGAAAAGGUGUGGAAGUGAAAAGAGAAUAAAUAUUGUUAAGUAUUUUUAGUGAGAAAUGAAAUAUUGCUAAGGAUUAUUAUAUGAGGAUUCUUAUUAAUACCUGUAUCCCUGUUCACAUAGAGGGCAGGCAUCCCAACGGCUGUAUAAUUAUUAUUUUUAUUAUUACUCACCCUUCACCAGCAGUAGAUCUCCCAGUCACCUAUGCAGAGGGAUGAAGGUGAUCUUCCCUGGCAAGUCACCGCAUUGCAGGGAGUGGAGCAGGGGAGGCUUUGGGCCUGCUAGAUACAAAGCCCUCCAGGUCUCCCAGCGAGCUCCCCGAAUGCAGGAAAAGUAAGUGAGGCCUGACUCUAAUAUAUUAUUUCAGUCCCAUUGGGAGCAGUGGGAGAGAAAAUCCAUAAAAAGUUAAGGAGGAACCCUCUCUCCCCUGUAUACACACACACAUUGUGCCAUGCUGGUAUGAGCCGGGCACAGCUUUUGAUUGGGCAGCUUUUUCACCUUCACAUCUUCCCCUUCUGCCUCUCCUGCACUCCCUUUGCUCUGCUCAUUCAUUGUUAAGCAGUAACUUGUGUAUGCAUAGCCAGGGGAAGGGAGUGCUAUUACACAAGAGUGUCUGGAACACUUUGCCACCAGUAUUGAAGACUCUUUGGGACAAAUUUUAGGUGAAAGGGUUGUUGACUUUAGUUGCAUAAAGCACUCGAAAUGAGCUUGCCGAGCACUAUUUAAAAAGCUUGCUUACCAAUGUGUACAGUGCACUGGACUUCUGCCUGUGUGUUGCCUCCAUUUUUAAAGAGGUGUUUACAUUUCUCUUUGGAAAUAAAUCCUCACCCGCUUUAAAAAGUAGUAGUCCAUAUUGGCCAGUUGGCAUAAAGUAUUCCACUAAGAAAUUGCAACUCAGCUAUUACUUGUUGCAUGUUUAUGGAUCCAAGGCUGUUUGGUCUGAGUUCUAGCCCCUUCUCUGCAUUCUGAGAUGUCUUGAGUACUUUGUUUCUGAAGGUGCCCAGCCUGCCAUGUCCACCUCUUAGUUAACUUGGAUGUUUCAGAGUUGAAAUUAAAGAUCUAAUAAAUGUUUAAGUUAAAAUAAAAUGAUUUUGCUUUUGCCAGCCUACAGUCCUACAUAAACAAUAGGUGGAAACACAUAGUUCAGUUGUAUGCAUGUUUAUCUGUAAACACGUGGUCUUUGAGCAUUUUUGCAUUGGAAAACUUACUCCUGUUUCACUGUCACGGGAUUGUUGUCAGAAUGAUAGUUAAGGGGUGCUGCUAACAGCAGAGAACUCUGCCAGAACUAGUAGGCCUCAAAGAAAUAUUGGUCUCUCCUCCUCUGCCCCCUCCCCCUUGCUGAACCACUGGCAAGGAAUUAUAUUGUACUAAUAUGAAAAGUCAGAUGAAACCACUAUAUUUUUCUACCCUAGGUAAGUAAAGGAAGUGGAUCAUGCUGCUGGGCAUUCCCUGAAAUUUAGGCAAUGUGGUGUAGUUGUUAGAGGGCAGUCCUACAUCCAUCACUGCCUCAUCUCACUCAUCCUACCUCAUGUGGGUAGUAUGGGCAUGCAUGGGUCAUCCCUCUAAAAUGGAUGUAGAAGUAUUGUCCUUAGAACAGCCCAUCUUAAAAUUCACAAAGACUACGGUCUAUGUUUCUAAAUACAGCUCUGAAAGGAGACUCACUUCUCUGCAAAAAUACCCUCUGUAUUUAGGUAAGGACAUAUUCCCACCACACUACUCUUUGCUGUUUUGCUUUGACUGCUCUAAAGUAUUAAAAUAUACUUGAAUACCGGAACAUCACUUGACUAUAUUUACAAAGUCAUGCAACAGAUAUAGAUACCUUCUCUUCCUCAAUAAUCCUGUUGGUCAGGUUCUACCUGUGUCCUUAGAGCUGGGUGAGCGAAAUAAGAUGUCCAUAGAUAUUCAACUGAGUAAUUUUCAGAUAUGUAUAUUAUAUAUUUGGUUGGCUAAGGCUUACAAGGAAGCAUAUUUUGGAUUAAGUAAGCCCACAUUGUACAACUAAGUAUCCAGUUUUACAACAAUGUCACUUUUAAUUACUGUAUAGCACUGUGGUGGUGUAAUUAAAGUAAACAAAUAUAAUAAAGAAUUGUUGGGUACAUGCAUACAGCACGUUCAGUUUGAAGUGUAGGCCUAUUAAAGGAGCUGUGAUAUUUAAUGGGCAUGCCGUAUGCAAAUUGAGAUUAAACUUGUCCAGUAUAUUGUAGGGGAAAAACAGCUUGGCAGCCAAUGCAGUUUUGCUGUAGGUGGAGUUUUGGCUUUUAUCUCCUGAAGGAUCUGGGCAUGGGUUGGUAAUCUCUUCCACGGUGAAUGCCAAGCUCAGUUUUCCCUGAACUGGGUUAAAGUGCAACAUCUUGCCUGUAUCUGUUUGUCAAGAUAGCAGGGGUAAGAAACUCUGAAAGUUCUACUUGCCAGGAUUGUGUAGCAUAUAAUAGAUGAAACACUUGUGUUUCAUGUUACCCUUAUGUCUUGUUUUAUUGGAGUUUAAUAUUCAGUCUGUGGUUUAAUUUCUUAAACUGUAGUCCUUUGUAUUUACCAUGAAAUAAUUUUUGUUGAAAUUGGUAUAAUUUACUUCUCAGUAAAUGUGGAUAGGGUAUGAUUGUUAAAUGUUUUACCUAACACUUAGUGCAAACUGCAGGGUGGGUUUGGUAGCAUUGUGGAUCUUAUUCAUUUAUGAAAUCUUAUUUGUAUACUUCAAAUAUUUAAAAGUUUUGAAUUGCCAGAGAGAAUUUUGGUAUUUUGGCCUUUUGGGUGAUGUGGUGUAGGAUAGUGGCAUUUUGUCCUUCUCCAGCAUGAUUUUUCUUAUUCAUUACACCAAAAGCUACACUACUACUGAAUAUCUAAGCCUCAACACUUGUAAUGGACAUCCAUUUAUGUAGUAUGUAGAUAGGCUUUGACUUAUUUGUAUAUCCUUCAAGGCCAUUAAAUGUUCAGUAGGGAGUAAACAUGAUUCUGUAGUGCUCUGACCUGGAUCAACUAUCCCUAGUUUUCUUUAUUCAACAAUCUGAAAUGCUUCGCCUUGCAUAGUUAAAUAUGCAUUGGAUUCUGACAUAUAUUAAUUCUAUGCAGAGUCAUAGUAGGACAGAACUACGAACAUUCUGUGGUUACACAGACUUUUGAAGCUUAUUCCAGGAGUGUCUCUGUAGAUUUUAUGUAUAGUUUGUAAUAUGGGAUUUGUAAAUAGUAUUUAUAUGGUAAUUGGGCUGUGCUUUCAGUUGCAUUUCUUGAAAAACUGGUAGGGAAAUUAAUAGGGAAUGGCUUACUCAGUUGUUUCUUCUGAGCUAUGACAACAACAACAACAACUUCAUUAUUUCUACCCCAGCCAACUCUUGGCGGCUAUAUCUGCGAUACGUCCCAUACUUUAAAUGCCUAGCUUUAUAAAUUGCAUGCCACUGGCAUGCAAUCUAAAUUCUUCUAAAUUCUAAACUUCUAAAUUCUGGCAUUUUGCUUGUCUCCCUUAGUGGUCACAAUCUCUCAUCUGCUUUACAUGUAAAUGUACAUGAUUGGAUGUAUGCAUCUUUGAGUUGGUCUGAUGGACUAGCAAAUGGAUUUUAAGAGCCCUAUGCUACUUGAAGAGCAUAGACAACUGCCAAGGACUUACUACCCACAAAAUGCUCAAGCUUUCUUAGAGUACAAAUGAUAAUUGUCAAUAUCAUAGUUCUAUUUUUUAUGAUAAUAUUAUUUCUUGGAACUCAUUGAGCCAAGUUGUAAUCUUUGCAUUAAGGCCAAUGUGUACCCAUGUAAAAAGCCACCUUGUCUUUUUGUGUGUGUGUCCUCUGUAGCAAAAUGCUGCUCUAAAAAAGGAAAUGAGACAACGUUGCAUUCUUAAGGGUUGACUUUACUCUGGCUUAUGUGGUACUUCAGGCUCUAUUAUUCUGAAAAUAGUCACGUUUGUCAACAGUUCAAACAUGGCUGUGACCAGAGUGCUAUUCUUAACCUUGACUGUCUCUUGACAAAUACCGUAUUUUUUGCUCU